rnacentral:rRNA from 1 species
GUCGAACGCUGACAUUUAGGUAGCAAUAUUUGAAUGUUGGAGUGGCGCAAGGGUGUGUAACACGUGGGCAAUCUGCCGUAAAGCCUGGGAUAACUCGCUGAAAGGCGAGCUAAUACCGGAUGUGAAUGUAAAUUCAAAGUUGGGGAUCGCAAGACCUGACACUUUACGAUGAGCCCGCGGCCUAUCAGCUAGUUGGUGAGGUAACGGCUCACCAAGGCUAAGACGGGUAGCUGGUCUGAGAGGACGACCAGCCACACUGGAACUGAGACACGGUCCAGACACCUACGGGUGGCAGCAGUCGAGAAUUUUUCUCAAUGGGGGAAACCCUGAAGGAGCGACGCCGCGUGGGGGAUGAAUGGCUUCGGCCCGUAAACCCCUGUCAUUUGUGAACAAAUUGAUUCACCUAACACGUGUAUCAUUGAUUGUAGCGAAAGAGGAAGGGACGGCUAACUCUGUGCCAGCAGCCGCGGUAAUACAGAGGUCCCAAGCGUUGUUCGGAUUCACUGGGCGUAAAGGGUGCGUAGGCGGCCGGGUAAGUCUGACGUGAAAUCUCUGGGCCUAACCCAGAAACUGCGUUGGAUACUAUUCGGCUAGAGGAAUGGAGGGGAGACUGGAAUACUUGGUGUAGCAGUGAAAUGCGUAGAUAUCAAGUGGAACACCAGUGGCGAAGGCGAGUCUCUGGACAUUUCCUGACGCUGAGGCACGAAAGCCAGGGGAGCAAACGGGAUUAGAUACCCCGGUAGU